UGUCAGCGGCAGACGGGUGAGUAACGCGUGGGAACGUACCUUUUGGUUCGGAACAACUGAGGGAAACUUCAGCUAAUACCGGAUAAGCCCUUACGGGGAAAGAUUUAUCGCCGAAAGAUCGGCCCGCGUCUGAUUAGCUAGUUGGUGAGGUAAUGGCUCACCAAGGCGACGAUCAGUAGCUGGUCUGAGAGGAUGAUCAGCCACAUUGGGACUGAGACACGGCCCAAACUCCUACGGGAGGCAGCAGUGGGGAAUAUUGGACAAUGGGCGCAAGCCUGAUCCAGCCAUGCCGCGUGAGUGAUGAAGGCCCUAGGGUUGUAAAGCUCUUUUGUGCGGGAAGAUAAUGACGGUACCGCAAGAAUAAGCCCCGGCUAACUUCGUGCCAGCAGCCGCGGUAAUACGAAGGGGGCUAG
rnacentral:rRNA from 1 species